rnacentral:tRNA from 1 species
CGCAGGGACAAGCACCGGGCGCUGCUGAGGUUCAUAUCCUCACGCCGAAAGGCAGAGUCGGUUCGAUUCCGAUCCCUGCUGCCA